UUUCGUCUUUUUGUCGACUUUCAAAAUCUUACGUGCACGUCGUCGAGAAAUAUUCUUAGUUUUUCGAUACGAGUCCAAUAAUGAAAGUUUUUAUUUUUGGACGACGAGUGAAUAGUAAACCGGGAUUUCUCGAUAAACGAACCGAGCUCGUUUAUCAGAAUUUCGAGAACGAGCUUGUAUUUUCUAUAUUUAUAUAGAAUUACGAGUGUAAUGAAAGUGAGUAGAGGUUGAGAGGGCGAGUAACGAAUAAUAUGGGUAGUUAGUCGUUAAAACGAGAUGAAACGAGAUAUUUAACGACUAACGGGUUAAUAUCCUAAAUAUCUAACCUACCCUACCCCUAACCACCCCCCAACUGCCCACUAUCCCUCUAUCUCACCUAACUCACGCUAUAUCAGCCCACACCACACACACAACUCACAUAUUCACACACACAACACCUAAAACACACACUACACACGCCAUUUUCCAUUUAAGCUUGGACGGAGCUUUUGACCUCCGAUUUGAGCACCGAGACGAGCGCCGAUCAUCUUUUCGAUCACGUAUCUAAGUAGGUCCUUUUUGGGAAGUAACGACUUGAGGGAGAGAGUGACGUUACUCAUUGAUACAGAGACACAACGAGGUUGAGCUGAUGUGAUGAUGGUGCUGCAAUGAGCGGAGUCUCCAGGGUUGUUAAUAAAUAGUUAACCUGUCUAGAAUAUGUCUUCAUACAUAUGUCUAGCUACUUUCCGCUGCAAGAUGUUGUUGAUGUUAUAGUAUGUUAUGUCAUACUUUGAGUCUUAAGAGAAUGGUUUCAUACGAUGUAUAACUUGAUUAAUGAUAUUAAUUAAGUUUUAUGCUGUCUUUCAUAGACUGUUUUCAAUUGAGUAUUAAUGAAUAAAAAUGACGAGUUUUAUUAAGAUGAGUAAGUUUUACGGCUAUAAAU